rnacentral:rRNA from 1 species
UACACACCGCCCGUCACACCACGAAAGCCUGUUGUACCCGAAGCUGGUGAGCUAACCGCAAGGAAGCAGCCAUCUAAGGUAUGGCCGGUAAUUGGGGUG